GUGACAGCCACGCCCCGCAUUUCCCGCCCUCCACCUGCGGAGUCCGGAACCGGCCCGCGGGUCCGCCUUUCCCAUCCCGGGUUCAGCCCCGAAAGCCAAAAAGAGUUCAGGCCGAGUCUCCGGCCCGCGGGAGGCCUGGAGGCGCCGCGAAGGCGGCUUGUCGCCUGGGAACGAUGCUGACGCCCGGCGCCACGAUCUCGGUCCCCCGGACGUGCCGAGGGUCGUGCGUCCAGGUUACUCCUGCGUCGCGUUCGAGCAGCCGGUGGCCCUUUCUCCUGGAAAGUCCACCUGUUCUCUCUGCGUGUACUUGAAAAGACUCCCAGCCUCUUGGUGAGAUGUGUGUGUACAGCUUCUGCACCCUGCCGUGGAUCUCCUGGGACAGAAUGGUCAGGAAGCACCCCGACACCAGCAGCCCCAGGAUCUGCUCCCUGGUGCGCAUCUCACAAGCCAAAGCCACCCACCCACCCACAGCAAAGCUCCAGAAGCCGCCUGAGGGUAUUUCGGGGACCAGUGGCCUCCGGGAAGCAGAACCCUCCGAGGGAGCUCCUGCACGUUCACUCUCAGAAGCCCUUUCCUCUUGGGAGCCCUUGUACUGCAAACCAAACGUGCCCAACUGCAAAGGCGCACCGGCUCCUUGCGAGGAUGCGAGGCGGGAGUCGGCGACUCCGAGAGAGUCCAGUCCAGACCAAGGGGUCCCACUCUGGCCCCCGCGCAGCGGGCUCGGCGCCCUGGCUUGGAUGGCCCGCAGGUUGCAGCCCGCAGCGCGACCGCGCGCCUACGCCCUGGGCAGCUGCCCCCGGUGAGCCUGGGAGAGCCAGCCUCAGAAUUACUGAUCAUCGCGCAGAUGAAGGAAGUGAAGCGCAGAGAACGUCAGGGACUUGGCCUCUGGCCUCGAACGCUGAAGAGCCCGAGGCCAACUCAGCUGGUUACCCCUCCCAAGCUUGCAGCAACGGCCCUGCGCCUGGUCUAGAGAUAGGAGGGGCCCUCUCCAGUACUGCAGGGGUUCUGGAAAGUACCUGCUGACUUACGGGGGUGCCUGCUCCCCGGACGCGUCUGCACAUCUUGUAGCGUGCAUAGAAAUCGGAAGCACACAAUCAGUUCAUAGGUUCUUAUUUUCAAGAUCUCGCACCUCGCAGAACUCGAGAACCUCCAUGGCGCAUCCUCAUGGUUUAUUCCUCGACAGGAAGCGGAUUGGGCCAAAGCUGGGCGACUGCCCCAACGCUCCAGCCCGAGGCUGGCCGGCGCUCCUGGCGCCAUCUGCUGGCGGCUUCCUUGAACUACAUCAGACAGCCCUGGGGCCUGGUGGGUUGCUAAGGCCUUGGGGGACAGACAGGGUCACCCGUUUGACAAAGGGAAGAGAAGAAAGAGAAGGGCGGUCUUGAGGCACAGAGGGAGCGGGAGGAGUGGGCGUCGGUGUGAGACGGCGGAGGGAGCCCCUGCUUUAGCCAUUGCGCUGUGAUUCCCAGGUUGAUAGGCUUUGACUUUGUAUUAAAUUUGACUCUGGGGCGAGGGCCCCCAGCGGUGCAACGCUGACCGGCAGGGAUCCGCAGGGGGCUUGUAUUACGGUUUUGUCUCUGGCAUGGAUGUCAUAAUUGUUUGAGUUAAUUUUUGCAUAGGAUGUGAGUUAAGUUUUGUUUUUAAAGGUGUGCUUUCCCAAUGUUUCCAGUACUAUUUGUUGAAAAUAUUUUCUUCAUUGUAUUGCUUUGACACCUUGGUAAAAAGUCACUUGUCCAAU
rnacentral:lncRNA from 1 species